GGUUAAGCGACUAAGCGUACACGGUGGAUGCCCUGGCAGUCAGAGGCGAUGAAGGACGUGCUAAUCUGCGAAAAGCGUCGGUAAGGUGAUAUGAACCGUUAUAGCCGGCGAUGUCCGAAUGGGGAAACCCAGUGCAAUUCGUUGCACUAUCGUUAACUGAAUACAUAGGUUAACGAGGCGAACCGGGGGAACUGAAACAUCUAAGUACCCCGAGGAAAAGAAAUCAACCGAGAUUCCCCCAGUAGCGGCGAGCGAACGGGGAGCAGCCCAGAGUCUGAAUCAGCUUGUGUGUUAGUGGAACGGUCUGGAAAGUCCGACGGUACAGGGUGAUAGUCCCGUACACCAAAAUGCACAGGUUGUGAACUCGAAGAGUAGGGCGGGACACGUGGUAUCCUGUCUGAAUAUGGGGGGACCAUCCUCCAAGGCUAAAUACUCCUGACUGACCGAUAGUGAACCAGUACCGUGAGGGAAAGGCGAAAAGAACCCCGGCGAGGGGAGUGAAAAAGAACCUGAAACCGUGUACGUACAAGCAGUGGGAGCACCUUUAUGGUGUGACUGCGUACCUUUUGUAUAAUGGGUCAGCGACUUAUAUUCUGUAGCAAGGUUAACCGUAUAGGGGAGCCGCAGGGAAACCGAGUCUUAACUGGGCGUUAAGUUGCAGGGUAUAGACCCGAAACCCGGUGAUCUAGCCAUGGGCAGGUUGAAGGUUGGGUAACACUAACUGGAGGACCGAACCGACUAAUGUUGAAAAAUUAGCGGAUGACUUGUGGCUGGGGGUGAAAGGCCAAUCAAACCGGGAGAUAGCUGGUUCUCCCCGAAAGCUAUUUAGGUAGCGCCUCGUGAACUCAUCUUCGGGGGUAGAGCACUGUUUCGGCUAGGGGGUCAUCCCGACUUACCAACCCGAUGCAAACUACGAAUACCGAAGAAUGUUAUCACGGGAGACACACGGCGGGUGCUAACGUCCGUCGUGAAGAGGGAAACAACCCAGACCGCCAGCUAAGGUCCCAAAGUCAUGGUUAAGUGGGAAACGAUGUGGGAAGGCACAGACAGCCAGGAUGUUGGCUUAGAAGCAGCCAUCAUUUAAAGAAAGCGUAAUAGCUCACUGGUCGAGUCGGCCUGCGCGGAAGAUGUAACGGGGCUAAACCAUGCACCGAAGCUGCGGCAGCGACACUAUGUGUUGUUGGGUAGGGGAGCGUUCUGUAAGCCUGCGAAGGUGGCCUGUGAGGGUUGCUGGAGGUAUCAGAAGUGCGAAUGCUGACAUAAGUAACGAUAAAGCGGGUGAAAAGCCCGCUCGCCGGAAGACCAAGGGUUCCUGUCCAACGUUAAUCGGGGCAGGGUGAGUCGACCCCUAAGGCGAGGCCGAAAGGCGUAGUCGAUGGGAAACAGGUUAAUAUUCCUGUACUUGGUGUUACUGCGAAGGGGGGACGGAGAAGGCUAUGUUAGCCGGGCGACGGUUGUCCCGGUUUAAGCAUGUAGGCUGGUUAUCCAGGCAAAUCCGGAUAAUCAAGGCUGAGGUGUGAUGACGAGGCACUACGGUGCUGAAGUAACAAAUGCCCUGCUUCCAGGAAAAGCCUCUAAGCAUCAGGUAACAUCAAAUCGUACCCCAAACCGACACAGGUGGUCAGGUAGAGAAUACCAAGGCGCUUGAGAGAACUCGGGUGAAGGAACUAGGCAAAAUGGUGCCGUAACUUCGGGAGAAGGCACGCUGGUGUGUAGGUGAAGCCCCUGCGGGUGGAGCUGAGACCAGUCGAAGAUACCAGCUGGCUGCAACUGUUUAUUAAAAACACAGCACUGUGCAAACACGAAAGUGGACGUAUACGGUGUGACGCCUGCCCGGUGCCGGAAGGUUAAUUGAUGGGGUUAUCCGUAAGGAGAAGCUCUUGAUCGAAGCCCCGGUAAACGGCGGCCGUAACUAUAACGGUCCUAAGGUAGCGAAAUUCCUUGUCGGGUAAGUUCCGACCUGCACGAAUGGCGUAAUGAUGGCCAGGCUGUCUCCACCCGAGACUCAGUGAAAUUGAACUCGCUGUGAAGAUGCAGUGUACCCGCGGCAAGACGGAAAGACCCCGUGAACCUUUACUAUAGCUUGACACUGAACAUUGAGCCUUGAUGUGUAGGAUAGGUGGGAGGCUUUGAAGCGUGGACGCCAGUCUGCGUGGAGCCAACCUUGAAAUACCACCCUUUAAUGUUUGAUGUUCUAACGUUGGCCCCUUAUCGGGGUUGCGGACAGUGUCUGGUGGGUAGUUUGACUGGGGCGGUCUCCUCCCAAAGCGUAACGGAGGAGCACGAAGGUUAGCUAAUCCUGGUCGGACAUCAGGAGGUUAGUGCAAUGGCAUAAGCUAGCUUGACUGCGAGCGUGACGGCGCGAGCAGGUGCGAAAGCAGGUCAUAGUGAUCCGGUGGUUCUGAAUGGAAGGGCCAUCGCUCAACGGAUAAAAGGUACUCCGGGGAUAACAGGCUGAUACCGCCCAAGAGUUCAUAUCGACGGCGGUGUUUGGCACCUCGAUGUCGGCUCAUCACAUCCUGGGGCUGAAGUAGGUCCCAAGGGUAUGGCUGUUCGCCAUUUAAAGUGGUACGCGAGCUGGGUUUAGAACGUCGUGAGACAGUUCGGUCCCUAUCUGCCGUGGGCGCUGGAGAAUUGAGGGGGGCUGCUCCUAGUACGAGAGGACCGGAGUGGACGCAUCACUGGUGUUCGGGUUGUCAUGCCAAUGGCACUGCCCGGUAGCUAAAUGCGGAAGAGAUAAGUGCUGAAAGCAUCUAAGCACGAAACUUGCCCCGAGAUGAGUUCUCCCUGAGACUUUAAGUCUCCUGAAGGAACGUUGAAGACGACGACGUUGAUAGGCCGGGUGUGUAAGCGCAGCGAUGCGUUGAGCUAACCGGUACUAAUGAACCGUGAGGCUUAACCUU
rnacentral:rRNA from 1 species